AACCCCUGGCAAUGGGCAGACAGCCACCUUAGUGGUGGUGUUCUUAUGUCAGUCAAAGGCAGAGCAGAUGGCAGUCCUUUGCUCAUCCUAGCUUGAUGCCUGACUUGGUGACCAAAGCUGUCUUAUGCCUAGGACUCAUAA